rnacentral:rRNA from 1 species
GGUGGGACACAGUGGGUGGACAUGGAGCUUGUGGAGUCAUAUUGCUUGAGAGUGCAAUAUAAAGGUGGUGGUAUAUUCCAUGGGAGGCUAAAUAGAGGUGAGAAGCCGAUAGCAAACAAGUACUGUGAAGGAAAGUUGGCAAGAACUUUGGAAAAAGAGUUGGAAGAGCCUGAAGUUGUGGUGCUGGAAGCGAUUGACUGUAGGACGACAUGGUGUUUGUUGUUUGUGUAUGGACUGGUGCGUUGAUGUGCGUGGUGGUUUGGACACGUGUGGACAGUGGACACUUGUGGCUGUGAUGGAUUGACUGUGGUGGAGAGCACUGGUGGCAGAUAGUGACUGUGUGCCGUUAGUGGUGGAUGGUUGUGUAUGGCUGUUGGUGGUUGUAGCUGUGGUUGAUGUGUGAUGGUGUGGAUAUGGUGAAUUGACCCGUCUUGAAACACGGACCAAGGAGUCUCAUUUAUUUGUGAAGAUAAGGAAAGAGUGACAUUGGUGUAUCUGGAAUGAAGAUGAAUGGCUUGGAAUAUGAAAGUGUUGGUGUGGUUGUAUCAGCACAAGCAAUAUUGAUUUACCCUGUGACAUUCAUGGGGACUAAAUUGGAAUGAAUAGAUGAGGACCCGAAAGAUGGUGAACUAUACUUGGAGAGAAAGAAGUCAGGGGAAACUCUGAUGGAAGUUCGUAGCAGUGCUAACGUGCAAAUUGCUUGUGGGAACUGAGUAUAGGGGCGAAAGACUCAUCGAACCAUCUAGUAGCUGGUUCCCUCCGAAUUUUCCCUCAGGAUUGCAGUGAUUUGGAAAUAGUUAUAUCAAGUAAAGAUAAUGAUUAGAAGGUUGUGGUUCAUGCUGGGUGACUGGCAGCCACAAGCAAGGGGACAAGAAUGGUUCUUUUCUUAUUCUCAAACUUAGAAGUGGUAUAGACAAAGCUGGACUCAUGGGCUUAAGAAGAUGGAUGAGUUCAGUGGGAAAUAAAGCAAAUGAUUAGUGGGCCUAAUCUGGUAAGCAGAAGAGGCGAUGUGGGAUGAACCAAAGGAGAAGUUAAGGGGUCAAAGGUGGGGCACACAAGGACGCCAGAAAGGGAGUUGAUUGAUGGAGACAGCAGGACGGUGGCCACGGAAGUUGGAUGACCCGCCAAGAAGUGUGUAACAACUUACCUGCCGAAUUGAUGAGUCCCGAAAAUGGAUGACGCUUCAGUGCCUAUCAUCAUUUGUGCCCAAUACUUUUCUAUCAUGACGAUGGUGUGCGUAAUGGCAUGUGUGGAUAGUUGUGAUAAGUAGGAGGAAGCGCAUGGGGAGUGUGGAAGCUUGUUGUGGUGACACAGUGUGGAACAACCUGUGGUGCAGAUCUUGGUGGUAGUAGCAAUUACUCGAGUGGGACGCUUGAGGACCAAAGUGGAGAAGGGUUUCAUGGGAAUGGCAGACAGCCAUGAGUUAGUCGGUGCUGAAGAGUAGGGGCAACCCGUGGGAAUUGCGGUGGCCGUGUGAUUGGUGACGCAAGACUGUGAAAGGGAAAUGUGUUAAGAAUGACAUACCUUGGGUUCGUGUUAGGGUGAUGGCAUGUGUUGAGGUGCUGGUUGUGUCAGUGAUGGUGUGAUUGGUGGCUUAGCAUGUGUUUGUGCCUGGUGAUGGAUGGCAACAUGAGGGAAUUCCGCGACAGCAGUCAGCAUUUCCGUAAAAGUUAUCUUUUGUUAAUAAUCCACGAAGCAGCAAGUUUGUGUGCUCUUUUAGGGCAUGUGGGCUUGUGAGAAUUUGGAGUGCCAAGAAAGUGAAUGGAUUGGAGCAGUGGCAGGAAGUGGAGAAUACCAUAUGUGGACAUCUGUGGUGACAUGGGUGUUAAAGUGAUGGUGGAAGAAUGUUUGUGAUUGCGACGUGAAAAGCGGGAGGAGCAGAGCUGGUGGUGGUGUUUGUGUUGGUGCUGUUGCUGUGGUGACACAGUGGUGGUUCUGGUGUGGACACGCCCGCUGGUGGUGGACAAGGAAGCAAGACCGUACCGAUGACCGCAACAGGUCUCCGAGGUUAGAAGCCUUUGGUGGAAUAGAAGAAAGUAGGUAAGGGAAGUCGGCAAAUUAGUACCGUAAGUUUGCAAGAAGGUAUGGCUCCAAAUUUGUGAUUGUGUUUGUGUGUUUAGGCUGUUGUGAUUGGUGAUACAGUUGUGAUGGCUUAGACUGUUUAGUCAGGACAAGCACAGGAAAUGUUUGGAACUGAUAGAAAGAAAGGGAAUUGGACUGUAUAAUAAAAACAAAGCAUUGUGAUGGUGUAGACAAGCGUGUAGACACAAUGUGAAUUCUGCCCAGUGCUGAGAAUGUCAAAGUGAAGAGAUUUAAGGAAGCACGGGUUAACGGCGGGAGUAACUAUGACUCUCUUAAGGUAGCCAAAUGCCUCGUCAUCUAAUUAGUGACGCGCAUGAAUGGAUGAACCAAAUUCCCACUGUCCCUAUGUACUAUCUAGCGAAACCACAGCCAAGGGAACGGGCUUGGCAACAUCAGCGGGGAAAGAAGACCCUGUUGAGCUUGACUCUAGUCUGACUUUGUCAUAUGACUCUCCAAGUGUAGAAUAAGUGGGAGUUGUCUUUUGUGUCUUCGCAAGGGGGUGUGGAUGACAGCGCUGGUGAAAUACCACUAUUGGAGAAGUUGUUUUACUUAGUUAUUUAGGUAUGGAGUGGGAUGGGACUGUGUGUGUGUGGCGUUAGCUGCAUGUGGAUGGUCUCGUGAGUCCCAUGAGUUGAUGGAAUUGACGUGGUUGUGUGUGUUUUUUGGCACAUGGCAGCACACGUGGAUAAAAUAGCGAAGGAAGUUAGAUAGGGAGUUUGGCUGGGGCGGCACAUCUGUUACACAAGAACGCAGGUGUCCAAAGAGUAGCUCAAGGAGAACAGAAAUCUCGAGUGGAAUAUAAGGGUAAAAGCUACUUUGAUUUGUAGGUUUUCAGUAAGAAUCGGAACGGUGAAAGCGUGGCCUAGCGAUCCCUAAUGAGGCACUGAGUCGUUUGACGAGCAUUC